UACGGAGGAUGCAAGCGUUAUCCGGAAUGAUUGGGCGUAAAGCGUCCGCAGGUGGCAGUUCAAGUCUGCUGUCAAAGACCGGGGCUUAACUUCGGAAAGGCAGUGGAAACUGAACAGCUAGAGUAUGGUAGGGGCAGAGGGAAUUCCUGGUGUAGCGGUGAAAUGCGUAGAGAUCAGGAAGAACAUCGGUGGCGAAGGCGCUCUGCUGGACCAUAACUGACACUCAGGGACGAAAGCGAGGGGAGCGAAUGGG
rnacentral:rRNA from 1 species